UCUUCCCACAUAAAAUAAUUUUUAUUUUAGUCAUACCAAUCAUUGCUGGGUAGCCCUUUGUUUAUCCUUGGAAGAUGAUGGUCUCCCCUUCUCGGUAAUAGUGGCAAUAGAACUUGAAGUUGGUUCUCGAGAGGUUUGUCUUGUUGAUUUAAGUGUUGAGAUAACGGUUGUUUAAAGGAAAGGAAGAGGAGAGGGGUGGAAGGGUGUGCUAUGGCGAUGCCAUGGGCCUCAACCGUGGACAUAGUGAAGGUCGUCUGGGUGGCCCUCGGCGACUGGAUCUCGUCAUGUAUGAUGGUCGCCGAUGAGAUUGCUCGUGCCCUCAGGACCGGCGACGUCGGCUUCUUCCUUCUUGAAUAAUUCCCUAGGAAUAAGACUACUAGGAGCAGGGAGCUUGGUGUUAUUCAGGGUUGGGGUAACUGAAAAUGAUAUGUAAUAAUCAAAUUUUAGAAGCUCUGUACUGUUCCAACUUCAUGAAUAAUGUUAUGACAUUAGUAAAUGAAACUAUUUAUUUUUA